rnacentral:rRNA from 1 species
GACGAACGCUGGCGGCGUGCUUAACACAUGCAAGUCGAACGAUGAACCCGGAGCUUGCUCCGGUGGAUUAGUGGCGAACGGGUGAGUAACACGUGAGUAACCUGCCCUUGACUCUGGGAUAACUGCGGGAAACUGUAGCUAAUACCGGAUACGACCCUCGGCGGCAUCGCCAGGGGGUGGAAAGAAUUUCGGUCAAGGAUGGACUCGCGGCCUAUCAGCUAGUUGGUGAGGUAACGGCUCACCAAGGCGACGACGGGUAGCCGGCCUGAGAGGGUGAGCGGCCACACGGGGACUGAGAAACGGCCCAGACUCCUCCGGGAGGCAGCAGUGGGGAAUAUUGCACAAUGGGCGCAAGCCUGAUGCAGCAACGCCGCGUGAGGGAUGACGGCCUUCGGGUUGUAAACCUCUUUUAGUAGGGAAGAAGCGAAAGUGACGGUACCUGCAGAAAAAGCACCGGCUAACUACGUGCCAGCCGCCGCGGUAA